GAUGAAGAACGUAGCGAAAUGCGAUAAGUAAUGCGAAUUGCAGAAUUCCGUGAGUCAUCGAAUCUUGAACGCACAUUGCGCCCUCUGGUAUUCCGGAGGGCAUGCCUGUCUGAGCGUCAUUGUCAACCCUCAAGCUCAGCUUGCUGUUGGGUCCCCGUCGUUGCUUUAACGGCGGACCCGAAAGGUAAUGGCAGAGUCCGUGAGACCCUAGACGCAGCGAGCUUCUAGCACGCGUCUGGACGUUUUUCGGGCUCGGUCUUAACUAGAUGAUAACUUCCGAUUGACCUCAGAUCAGGUAGGGAUACCCGCUGAACUUAAGCAUAUCAAUAAGCGGAGGA
rnacentral:misc_RNA from 1 species